GUUUAAUCGAUUUUUAUAAUAGAGAUGACGUAGCUACAUUUCGUUGGACCAACAUUACAUUCAUGUUUAAAUGCACAGUUAAAUGCACAGACCUUAGCUGACGCUGGCGAAUUUCUGUCACUCAUAUUCGGUGACUACUGGAGGAAGACAUUCAGAAGGGAAUGAAAUUGUCCAUCCUCAUUACUUGUUGUGCUUUGUUAUCCUUCGUCUACAAUAUGGCUGGAGCUGCUAAGUUAAAGUCUAAGAAUAAAGUAUGUCAGGAUGACAAUGUUUUCUCCAGAGAACCAAGCUCCAAGGAAAUACGUUGCCGUGAAAUAAAUUGCGAUUGGCCAGAAUGUCAUAAUAAGGCAAAGCCAAUCAACAUCCCAGGCAACUGCUGUCCAUCUUGUCCGGA